AUAUCGGUUUCCCCUUCUCCCGUUUUUCGUUCAUAGGCCACACGAUCGGCGUUGUGCCGUCCAAAAUCUAGAGAAAGAAGACAUGCUCUCUCGCUUUGGCACACAGGAAAGUUUUCCAAUAGCUUCGGUUUUGCUGGUUGGUUUGUGGACAUGAGGGGGUUGAAACUGGGAGAAAAAAGCUUCGGUUGCUACUUGGGGAGCUUAACAAAUACCUAUUAAUGUAUCGAUCUUCUCCUCAUUCAGUCUCUAAGAAAACACCGUCGGAGAUGCUAUUUAAUUAUAACAUAAGAGAUAAAUUACCAUCUAUAUUUAAUCCAAUAGUUGAACAUGAAGAAGUGGCAGACAGAGAUAAGUGUAGAGUUCGCUAGGUUUCACAUCGGUAGAGUUUGGUUGGUGUGACGCGUCUUCGAGCGUAUUGGAGGCCCACCGUGACAAUGAGAUAAACCUUGGUCGGUGGUUGUCAAAAAGUAACUAGAUUGACAACGCCAAGGACGGGGGAAAUUAAGGGAACGCCACUCGAAUGCCGGCGAGUAACUAAGGUGGAGUGAAAUAUAGAGAACCCAACAAUAAGGAAGCUAAACACAAAAGUAAAAUGUAUUCAGAUAAACGAGGAAACGCAAAAGUUAGCUCAAUAUGCCCGGGUGACAAAGUUCUGGUCAAACGAAUGCGUAAAACCAACAAACUAUCAUCUAACUUUGGGACAAAUGUUUUUAAGGUGGUUGAAAGGAAAGGAGGAGAUGUAUUAAUAGCAUCAAAAGAAUCCGGUUUGAAAUACCGGAGGCACGUAUCUCAUUUGCUUAAAGUUUCUACAGAAGAAGGUAACCCCCUUGCACCAGAAUCAGUAGACAACGGAAUGGUAGAUCCAAAUAACAAAGAAAAGAAUGUUACUUGCAAAGAUACCACAAGCAAAUUAACUGAUAGAAGUCUUAGCUAUAAGCCAAGUAAUGAGACCACAAGAUCUAAAAGAACUAUUCAAAAACCAAAUUACUUAAACGACUAUAUUAGCAGUUAGAAAUCCAUUAGUUAGUAAGCAAUACAUUAACUAUAAAAAAAGGAAA